rnacentral:misc_RNA from 1 species
CCAGCCAUCACUAUGGUAUACCGACGGCCUAUCCAGUCGGAGGUCCGGCCAGCUGCGGCUGAGCCCACGAGUGAGUAUAUGUUAAGUGUACCCGCCAGGAUUUCUACUUGAGUAUCUGAGAUUUGCAGGUUUUUCUUGAUGUAAAUAGCUGCACCACUCAUUACUCCAAUAUCAUAGCCGAGUAAGAUUGAAGUCAUGGAAGCCAAGAUUGCACAAGCAAAAGCAAACUUGUUUCUCUUGGGCUUCUUUU